AGUCUGCAACUCGACUACAUGAAGCUGGAAUCGCUAGUAAUCGCAGAUCAGAAUGCUGCGGUGAAUACGUUCCCGGGUCUUGUACACACCGCCCGUCACACCAUGGGAGUCGGAAAUGCCCGGAAGCCGGUGACCAAACCAAUAAGGAAGGAGCCGUCGAAGGCAGGUCUGAUAACUGGGGUGAAGUCGUAACAAGGUAGC
rnacentral:rRNA from 1 species